rnacentral:rRNA from 1 species
UACGAAGGGGGCGAGCGUUGUUCGGAAUUACUGGGCGUAAAGCGCGCGUAGGCGGUUUUGCAAGUCGGAUGUGAAAUCCCCGGGCUUAACCUGGGAACUGCAUUCGAGACUGCAUUGCUAGAGUAUGGGGGAGGGAAGUGGAAUUUCAGGUGUAGCGGUGAAAUGCGUAGAUAUCUGAAGGAACAUCAGUGGCGAAAGCGACUUCCUGGACCAAUACUGACGCUCAUGUGCGAAAGCGUGGGGAGCAAACAGG